GUUUUGAGUGCCAGUUAAGCCUCCUUUGAUGCAAGAAAAAUCAUCAGCACUUUAUUAAUGAUGGAUUCUGAUAAUAAACCUGACAAUGAUGAGGAUGAAAAUAUAAACAAGGAACCAAAAGACUUGAGAAGUAUUUCAUCUAAUAAUGACAGUUGUGGGCCUGUGUUUGAUGGGAUAGCACAUUCCUCUGAGAAUUUCACAAGAAAACGAGGUUUUUCAGAGUCAUCCAGCUUGGGCAGGAUUGCUGUGGAGGAAGACAGAAAUAAACAUGCUUCCAAACGAAUGAGAGUAGAGGAGGCAGAGCCCCUUAAAUCUGGGGAGGAGAGCACCUGUGGAUUCAACACUACAAUAAGCUCGGCUUCUGAAGCAGGUGUUUUGUUAGAUGAAGCAGGAAAGGAGACCUUCCUGAAGGACUGCUCAGACAGAGACACAGAUCUUCCAAAUGCCUUUUCAUCCUCUUGUGAUUUUAAAACUGUUGAUGCUGUUUCUCUGAACACAGACACUGAAAGCAAGUUUGCUCAGGAAAUGGUCAAAGAAAGAGAAUCUCCUUUCCCCCUGAAAGAAAUGAGUGUUAGUUGCACCAUUGGAAAUGUAGAUACAGUUUUCAAGUGUAGCAUAUGUGGUCAUUUGUUUUCUUCUCACUCUGAUUUGGAAAAACAUGCUGAAUGUCUUGGGCAGCAGGCUAAAAAACAUGCCUGCUGUCACUGUAGCCACAAAGCAGAGAGCAGCACAGCUCUCCAUAUCCAUAGCAAACACACACAUGGGGCACAGAAAGUCUUUUCUUGUGAUCUUUGUGGCUUCCAGUGUGGGGAAGAAAACCUGUUGAAUGCACAUUAUCUUGGUAAAACACAUCUCCGGCGACAGAAUCUUGCUGCUCGUGGAGGGUUUGUACAGAUCUUAACAAAACAACCUUUUCCUAAAAAAACAUGUACCAUGGGAACAAAGAAUAUUCAAGCAAAACCAAGAACAAAGAAUGGGAAUCCAAAAGGAUUACACAACCCUGGGAGCAAAUUUAAAGAUUGUGGAGGAAGCAUUUCUCAGCAUAGCAGUAGCAGCAGUGAGCUCCUUGUUGAAGUGGUGCCAUCUAAUAAUACUUUAUCAGAAAAAGCAGAGAUUGUUGAAGAAAAUGAUACCUCUCUUGGUACAGCUAGAAAUCUUGAAGACCAGAGUAAAAAGCUAGGAGAUGUAAUCUCAGAGGAUCUUUUAGAUAAAUCAGAAUCUACCAAAAAUAUCCUACAGACUGUACAUAGUAUCAGUAUCACCUCCAGGCCAAGGCCUGAGAGAAACAUUCUAGUGUUGGGUAAUAGCUUUCGGCGACGAAGUGGCACUUUUAUCUUGAAGGGCCAGGCAAAGAAAAGGUUUAAUCUUUCUGGAAUUAAUAAAAGAGGCACAAAUGAAACUCAGAGGAUGUAUAUGAAACAUUUUAGAACGCCCAUGAAAACAAGUGAUGCAGAACCAAUGUCGAAACACCAAGAAUUGAACAGUGAUGUCCAGAGUCUGUGCGUGACUGCCUCAGACACCCAGAAAAUGAUACAGAACAAGAUAAACUCCCAUCUUCCAAGUUCUGUGCAGCUGAACUCCCCGACAGUGAAGCCAGCUCUUGACCACCAGAUGGUGUAUACGUGUACAGAGUGUGGUCAGAUAGCUACAAAUAGGACAGAUUUGGAAAUCCAUGUGAAAAGGUUCCAUUCAAAAGAGAUGAAAUUUUACUGCCAGACUUGUGACUUUUCUGGUACUUCAAGGAGGGAUUUAGAGGAACAUUUGCACAAUAACCAGCAUCAACAAACUGAUUCUGUCCUAAGUUGUCAAUGUUGUUCCUUUAUUUCUCUGAAUGAGAUAAAUCUUAGAGACCACAUGAAGGUAAAGCAUGGGAUGGGUUUUUUUUGCCACUCUUGUAAUCUGUUUUUGUCUGAGAAAGACAUGGAAGAGCACAGUGCAACUGAGAAACAUAUUAGUUUAUUGGUUCAACCAAAGACUUCUCCAUCGUUGAACAAUGACUUGGUUUUACAGACCUUACCUUUAAGUACUUUGGAAUUAGAAAACACAAAAAAGUCUAUGAAUGAAUCAGGGAAAGCAGCUCAAGAAGAACCUGUUAAGUCCAGGGUAAGCCAUGGAAAUGAGGUAAGGCACUCAAGUAAGCCUCAGUUUCAAUGUAAGAAGUGUUUUUAUAAAACUAGAUCUUCCACUGUUCUCACAAGACACAUAAAGCUUCGGCAUGGUCAGGACUAUCAUUUUCUUUGUAAAGCAUGCAAUCUUUAUUCAUUGAGCAAAGAAGGAAUGGAGAAACACAUUAAAAGAAGCAAGCAUCUUGAGAAUGCCAAGAAAAAUAAUAUUGGCUUAAGCUUUGAAGAAUGUAUUGAAAGGGUAUGUAUUGGUGCAAAUGAUAAAAAAGAAGAGUUUAACAUUUCUGGUAAUGGAAGGAGUGAAGGCCACAUAGGUGUGCAAUUAGAAGAACAUACCUAUCUUGAGAAGAGCAUACCAGCUCCUAAGGAACUGUCACAGUCUGGAGUCAUUACUAAAGAUGCUGAAUUAGCAUUGACCACUACUCCAAAGAGAGGGAGACCCAAAGGCAAUGUCUCAAGGACCUGUUCACAUUGUGGUCUUUUGGCCUCCAGUAUUACAAAUUUGACUGUUCAUAUUAGACGUAAACACAGUCACCAGUAUAGCUAUUUAUGCAAAGUAUGUAAAUAUUAUACUGUAACUAAGGGAGAUAUGGAGCGUCAUUGUGCCACCAAGAAACAUAAAGGACGAGUGGAAAUAGAAGCAAAUGGGAAACAAAGUUCAGAUAUCAUUGUUGGUCCUGAAGGGGGAAAUCUUGAAGCCUGUAAAAAGAAUACCCAAUCAGCAUUGAAUAUUUCAGAUGAACGUGCUAACAAGUCAGUGGAGUCAGAGACCUCUGUUUCAGAAAAGCCAGUAAAUGAUCAUGGAAAUCCAAUUGAAGUUGAAAAUGUAUUUCAUUCUGUAGAUGGAGAAGUUACUAGGCAUCUUACUAAUAAAAAGGAACAAAUAUCUCUAGAGGCAGAGGACCUCCAACAGGGUGAUGCAUGUUCCCAGAGAGAUAUUACAGGUACAAGUGAUAAUAAAUGUCUGCACUGUGAGUUUAAUACUCACUCUUCUGCUUCUCUAGAGCUGCAUGUGAAACGGAAGCAUACAAAAGAAUUUGAGUUUUAUUGCAUGGCCUGUGAUUACUAUGCAGUGACUCGUCGAGAGAUGACAAGGCAUGCAGCAACAGAGAAGCACAAAAUGAAAAGGCAGUCUUAUCUGAACUCUUCUAAUGUAGAAGCAGGUUCUACAGAAGUGUCCAAAGACAUUGUCAUAACUGAAGAGGAGCAGUCACAGAACACUGAAGAAUUUCAGAUAAUUUCAGACCAAACAUCUGAUAAUCUGAAAUCUAGAAAUGCUGCCAGUUGUUCUCUUUUAGAUGAGAAUACUAAUUUAGAUAUGUCUAAAGUACUCUGUCCUCCUGACUCUGUAGAAAUUGAAACUGAAGAAGAAUCUAAUCUCAAUGAUGACCGUUCCUUUUGUGAGACUUUCCAACAGUCCCUUGCCAAGGAGAAAGGUAUUAAACCUGAGAGGGUAUCCCUUAAUAUUUCCUCUAGUUCUGGCUCCUCAAGUGGAUUUCAAAAUAAAAAUUCAGGAAGCUUAGAUUUGAAUUGUGAGACUGGAAAGAAAAACCAUGAUAUGUUGAAUGACAUAACUGCUUCAAGUACACAUUGUGAAAGCAAUGAAGGAAGUGCAAAAAGUAGCAGAGGUGAAGUUCUCGACAAACACUUGUGUCCUAGAGUCCUCACUGGGGGGCAGUCAGCCGAAGGUACUACCUCUAUGGUGAUGAGAACACCAAAAGAGCAGGUAAAUCUAGGUGGCAGUAAUCAGAACAAAGUUGGAUGUGCACACAGUUCAGAAGAUUUGAAAGAUAUGCAAGCAGAUCCUGUCCUGGAGAAUAAGGAAAUUCUGAUGAAUUCACAACAUGAAACUGAAAUUAUUUUAGAAGAAGAUGGCCCAGCUUCUGAUAGCGGAGUUGAACGUAAUGAUGUUUACGAAACUAUAAUCAGUAUUGAUGAUAAAGGGCAAGCCACGUACAGUUUUGGCCAGUUUGAUUCUUCUAUAAUUAGAAUAAAGAAUGCUGAAGAUGGUGAAUUGAUAGACCAACCAGAAGAGGGUCUGCUGUCAAUGGGAGUGAGAAUUAGUGAGUUGCCCUUUAAAGACUGUGCUCAAGGCUUGAAAAAGAAGAAAGUUGAAGGUAGUUCCUUUAGUGAGUCCACACGAAUCCGUUGUGAUGAUUGUGGCUUCUUAGCAGAUGGACUGAGUGGAUUGAAUGUCCACAUAGCCAUGAAACAUCCUACAAAAGAGAAACACUUUCAUUGUUUACUCUGUGGGAAAUCAUUCUAUACAGAAAGCAACCUUCACCAGCAUUUGGCUAGUGCUGGUCAUAUGAGAAAUGAACAGGCCAGUGUGGAAGAGCUUCCAGAAGGAGGGGCUACCUUUAAAUGUGUCAAGUGUACAGAGCCCUUUGAUUCUGAACAAAAUUUAUUUCUACACAUUAAAGGACAGCAUGAGGAAUUGUUGCGAGAGGUGAAUAAGUAUAUAGUGGAAGACACUGAGCAAAUCAACCGCGAGAGAGAGGAAAACCAAGGAAAUGUUUGCAAGUACUGUGGGAAGAUGUGUCGAAGUAGCAAUUCAAUGGCCUUUCUGGCUCACAUUCGCACGCAUACAGGAUCAAAACCAUUCAAGUGCAAGAUAUGCCAUUUUGCAACAGCUCAGCUUGGAGAUGCCAGAAACCAUGUGAAAAGGCACCUUGGAAUGAGGGAAUACAAAUGUCAUGUCUGUGGGGUUGCUUUUGUAAUGAAGAAGCACUUAAAUACUCAUCUACUAGGCAAACAUGGAGUUGGCACACCAAAAGAAAGGAAAUUUACAUGCCAUUUGUGUGAUAGAAGUUUCACAGAGAAGUGGGCCUUGAACAACCACAUGAAACUGCACACAGGAGAAAAGCCUUUUAAGUGUACCUGGCCCACAUGCCACUACUCAUUCCUUACAGCCUCCGCAAUGAAAGACCACUACAGGACGCACACAGGCGAGAAGUCGUUUCUGUGUGACCUCUGCGGCUUUGCUGGCGGAACACGGCAUGCCCUCACCAAGCACCGCCGGCAGCACACAGGAGAAAAACCUUUCAAAUGUGAUGAGUGUAACUUUGCCUCCACAACCCAGUCCCAUUUGACUCGACAUAAGCGUGUGCACACCGGAGAGAAGCCCUACAGAUGCCCCUGGUGUGACUACAGAGGUACUCAGCCUCAGUUGCAGCAGCAAAACUUUGGUGCAGACAGGUGUGAGCUACAAUCAGGCAGUGCUCAAUCAUCUGGCCUAACCAUAGGACAAGGUAUGUAUAGGGUCAUUGUGGAAGGUAAGAUGGGGAAUGGAACUUGACAUCCAGGUCUAGCUGCCUCUGGACCUAAAGGCAAACUUGGACCCCACUUAGUAGUCUGGGACACCAGGGAGUUUAUAGGCAGCUUAAUGACAUCUGUCCUCUGAAGCCUGCCUCCAAGAGGGAAAGCCUACUUUAUAUUUGAGCUGAAGACCUCUGCUGUGGCUGUCAUAUACAAUGACAUGGAAAGAUUCAGUCUCUUUAAGUUUACUCCAUUUCUAUCGAAUAUUAGAAUGUGC
rnacentral:lncRNA from 1 species